AUUUCCAAUUUCAGUUACCAGAAAUUAUUCGCACACUAAAUCCGAUUGCUUGGCAUCUAAGUUAACAGUGCACACUCCCUCUCUCUCUAACUCCCCAAAUUUAGAAACCCACCUCUCUAUUCCCCCUAAUUUUCGUUUUCCCACCCCCAAAAAAACCCUAAUUUCCCUUCCGGAUCGGCCCCAAUUUGCCAGUGUUUGGCAAUUCCGCUCCUUGAUCCCCAAGGUUAUUUGUUGUCUGUGCGGAAUGAAGAUCGAGGAGUUGGAGGCGGAGGGGGAUUGCGGCGUUCGGAACGACGCCGUUUCCGGGCGGCAGGUAGUUAGGGUUGACGAAGCCAAGAGAGCGCUUGUUGGAGCCGGUGCGCGGAUCCUUUUUUACCCGACCCUGUUGUAUAAUGUGCUUCGGAACAAGAUGGAGGCUGAGUUCAGAUGGUGGGACGAAGUUGACCAGUUUGUUCUGCUUGGUGCGGUUCCAUUUCCCAAAGAUGUUCCCCAGUUGAAGCGGCUGGGUGUUGGUGGUGUGAUCACUCUCAAUGAACCUUACGAAACUUUGGUUCCAACAUCCUUGUAUCGUGCCCAUGGAAUUGACCAUCUAGUAAUCCCCACGCGAGAUUAUCUUUUUGCCCCUUCAUUUGUUGAUAUCAACAGAGCUGUAGAAUUCAUUCACAAGAAUGCAUCGUGUGGUGAAACUACUUACGUGCACUGUAAAGCUGGUCGGGGAAGGAGCACAACUAUCGUGCUUUGCUAUUUGGUGAAAUACAAGAACAUGAUACCAUCUGCAGCCCUGGACUAUGUUCGGUCUAGAAGACCUCGUGUGCUGCUAGCCCCCUCACAAUGGAAGGCUGUUCAAGAAUACAGCAGAUGCGGACCAACUACCACAGCAUGUUCUCCCUCAGGAGAUGCAGUUUUAAUUACCAAAGCUGAUCUUGAAGGGUACCAUGGAACUUACGACGACACUGCUCGUAAGCAGUUGGCAAUUGUUUCUAAAAUGGUGAAAGCCAGCCCCAUGAUAGCUAGGUUAUCGUUCCUUUUUGCAUCCUUGAAAGUCACCGGAAAUUGUGGACCAGUCACGAGGCAGUUGCCUGUGCCGGAACCACGUGCUUGCUGAGCUCUCGCACACAUCAUGCAAGUGUCAAGCGUUGUUUGCUUGUAGAGAAGAGCAUGAAUAAAUAGAAGUUUUAUGAAGCGCCGGUGUUUCAGGCUGCAUCAUGUUUACGAGAGGGAGAAAGGUCUUUGGGAGGGUGAGGUGCCAUAAACUAUGGUAUGGAGACAAACUUUUGUCCGACCGGCUGUAUAUGGAGAAUGACUUACAUACGGAGAAUGAUUUACACAAAACAGGUUCAUUAUUACUAUGGCGUUCCGUUCAAAAAUAAAACAAUCACUUGUAUGUGGGACCAAAUACAGGGGGCGUGUUAGUAAGGCUGCAUGCCACGUGGUCUUUGAGGAAGCUAGAAUUUGCCAUAGAUGGGUUACAAAAGUUAUCUUCUACUUGGUCAUAAGAAGUGUCAUACGGAUGAUAUGGUCCUGCAUUCAACCUAAGAUUUUCCUCUAUUUGAAUGCAAUGGCCAACUAUUGUAGUUGUAGAGUUGGACCAUGUUGGUCUUUUUACACAGAAUGAGUGGCUUGUCUGUCCGGCUACAUUUUAUUAAUAGAUUGUUUGGGUUAAUUUGUAGUGAUUUAU